CAUCCAUAUCUAGGUCUGCACAGAUACCCGCAAGGUACUCGAACGCUUUUCUAAUUUGAGCAUCCUUUUCCAG
rnacentral:rRNA from 1 species